UGGGGAAUAUUGCGCAAUGGGCGAAAGCCUGACGCAGCAACGCCGCGUGAGUGAUGAAGGCCUUCGGGUCGUAAAGCUCUGUCGGAGGGAACGAAUGCUCCUGAAGUUAACAGCCUCAGGAGGUGACGGUACCCUCAAAAGAAGCACCGGCUAACUCUGUGCCAGCAGCCGCGGUAAUACAGAGGGUGCGAGCGUUAAUCGGAGUGACUGGGCGUAAAGCGCACGUAGGCGGAUUGUUAAGUCAGAGGUGAAAUCCCGGAGCUCAACUUCGGAACUGCCUUUGAUACUGGCAAUCUAGAGUCCGGAAGAGGUUAGUGGAAUUCCCAGUGUAGAGGUGAAAUUCGUAGAUAUUGGGAAGAACACCAGUGGCGAAGGCGGCUAACUGGUCCGGUACUGACGCUGAGGUGCGAAAGCGUGGGGAGCAAACAGGAUUAGAUACCCCUGUAGUCCCUGAGCGGGCUGGCAAGGCGCAU
rnacentral:rRNA from 1 species